GUACGAGGGCCCGCAGCUGGUGGCCGACUCCGGGGUGAUCAUCGACACCACGAUGCGCGGGGGGCGGCUGGGGGUCUUCUGCUUCUCCCAGGAGAACAUCAUCUGGUCCAACCUGCAGUACCGCUGCAACGACACGAUCCCCGCAGACUUCGAGCCCUUCCGCCGGUUCCUGCUGGAGGGACGCGAGUGACCGCGCCCGGGCCGGGCCUCCCCCACCAGCGGCACCCGGGGGCACCCCGGGCCCCGCCGCCCCUCCCGCCCGGGCCCAAUCCCGGCCCCCCGCGGACUUUGCACUGCCGGUACCGGGCCCCCGCGGUGCCGGGGCUUCCCCCGCUCCUGCCCCGGGCGCUCCGGUCCCUGCCCCACGCCUGGCCAUAAAGUUUUGAGUGUUUUCUA